rnacentral:lncRNA from 1 species
AGAGAGCCUCGGCUAGCUGGGAUUCUGUCCCUGACCGUCUUCACAGUCCAGGUGAUCUUGACUACUGCUUUACAGAGAAUUGGAUCUGAGGUGUGGAAACAGGAAGAGAACUAGAACUGGAAGUAAAGCAUUGAAGAUGUGACUGAAUUGCUGCAAUCUCAUGAUCAAAUUUGAAUGGAUGAGGAGUUGCUUUUUAGGGAUGAGCAAAGAAAGUGGUUUCUCGAGAUGGAAUCUACUGGUUGCUCCUUGAGGGCAGGACAGUUCUUAUGGCUUUAUCCGUUGCGUAAGCACAGAGAGGUCUGCGAGGUCAAAACUAUUGUCAUGAUAGCAAGAUGCCUGUCUUUUUCAUUUAUUCUCACGGUGUGCAGAGGCUACAUGAUGUGUGAUGACAUCCUCAUUGAUGUUAAUGAAUGGUGCUAUACUUGAAUUUUCUAAGGUGUCAUUAGAUGAGGUCUUGCUGUGUUGCCCAGGCUAUUCACAGCUGCCAUCAUAGUGAACUACAGCCUGAAACUCCUGGGUUCAAGAGAUCCUUCUGCCUCAGCCU